GAAAGACGGACUUAGUGAUCCGGUGGUUCCGCAUGGAAGGGCCAUCGCUCAACGGAUAAAAGCUACCCCGGGGAUAACAGGCUUAUCUCCCCCAAGAGUUCACAUCGACGGGGAGGUUUGGCACCUCGAUGUCGGCUCAUCGCAUCCUGGGGCUGUAGUCGGUCCCAAGGGUUGGGCUGUUCGCCCAUUAAAGCGGUACGCGAGCUGGGUUCAGAACGUCGUGAGACAGUUCGGUCCCUAUCCGUCGUGGGCGUAGGAAAUUUGAGAGGAGCUGUCCUUAGUACGAGAGGACCGGGAUGGACAUACCUCUGGUGUACCAGUUGUCGUGCCAACGGCAUAGCUGGGUAGCUAUGUGUGGACGGGAUAAGUGCUGAAAGCAUCUAAGCAUGAAGCCCCCCUCAAGAUGAGAUUUCCCAACUUCGGUUAUAAGAUCCCUCAAAGAUGAUGAGGUUAAUAGGUUCGAGGUGGAAGCAUGGUGACAUGUGGAGCUGACGAAUACUAA
rnacentral:rRNA from 1 species